CAGUAAUAAUGGUUGGAGAUCAGAAUCGUUCCCUUGUCUGGGACUAUGCCUUAUUGCCAAAUGUUUCCCAAACCUUUAUUGAAGAUUGACCUUUGUCCUCACAGGUUCAGAUUGAGCUCUAGUUACUGAUGGCUCCCACUGGUUCCAUGUAUGGCAAAUGCAUCACCAACAAAAGCAUCCUGAACACUUGGAAGGAUUCACAGUAAUGACGUAAUGACGCCUAUACCUGGUCUACCUUUAGGCUUUUGCUUCCUUUGGCAUAUUUCUCCAUGGUUCCCUGAGAAGCUGACAGCUGGGCAGUAUAGACCGAGUGCUGAAUUUGUCCACAGUUAUUUAAAUGUCUGCUUCAGAGUUCUAGAGUCAGAUAGGGAUGGAUUCCUGCCUGCUAAGAACUUCGUGUGGAUUUAUUUUAAAGAGCUCUCAUCUUCUCAUGGCUGCUUGUAAGCUCGUUUGUCUUGGCAACAAUCCAUCAGGAGGAAUACUGAUGAGAUGCCCUCUCCUUCCCGGUGGGCUUCAGAGUGCGCUGGAGGACAAACCUAGCUGUGAAAUGUGGCUAACACCAAGAUUAAGGGCCUGCUGUGAUGUAAUACAGUUGAUCAGUCAAACAGGCCUCAGUUUUAUUUUAGGUUUGUAUCUGUUUGCUAUCCAUGGGCCUUGGAGUGUCAUCCCCAGUCUGGGCUGUUAAUAGCAUCUGUGUCUUCUAACUGUUCAAGUACGGACAUACUUAGAAAAGAAACACUGGGAGUUGACUUUGUGUAAAUUCUUAAGUAAAGGUUAUGAAGUCUAUAAAUCAAGAGAUGUAAAUGUCGCAUUUUGGCUUUAAGGCUCUAGGCCACCUUGGGAAAAAAAAAAGUCCACCUGUAGCAUAAAGUCAUCCUUUACCAAAGAGCAGAAGAGUACACACACCACUGUUUUUGAUUUUAAGAUUCCUCCACUAAAAAGCACUUUUUUUUCCUGCUGCCACAAAUUCCACUCAUUAAUCAUGCCAAAUGUAUUGGCCACAGCAUCUACUAUCUUCCAGGCUAAGCUAACUGUAAUGAUUCCAAACUAGCGUUUUCUAGUGUUAGUGAUGGUUUUGAGGAAGGGCUGAUUGCCCCACACAGGUUCAUAUACGGCCCUCCAUUCAAAUAGGUAAUUUAGAAUGACCCCCAUUUUGUCCCUAAUGCUGCAAUUGUCUUCAUAAGCACAUCCAAGCUAAGUCACCCACCCAGAGACUGAGUGAUAGCAGUUCUCCCUUUCAGAGCUCUGCUUCUGCUAUAAAUGAGCUAAUAAGUCUUAGUACCAACACUUGAUCCCUAAUAAAAAAAUGAAAAGAAGAUUUAAAAAAAAAGAGCAGAAACAUCUUUUCAGGUUCUACCAAUCCAUGAUCAUGGAUUAAACAUUUUCUCUUCUAGGCAGUCUUUUAAAAUGAGAUUCUGCUCAAGAGUGUGUUACAGUAGCCUGCUAUAAAUUGGUGGCUCUGGCUUUUUAAACUCUGGUUCUUUCUCCUGUAAAGGGGUAUAAAUGAGCACCUUAUCAUCCCACUGAAAUAAUGACAACUCAGAGCCAGUACCACAUUCACAAGUGAGGAGAGUCCCAGCAUGGGCUUGACUCAGCACUACCUGACCAGGCUGCUUAAUGCGCAGGUGAAUGCCACUGCCCCUAGGAAUUACAUGUAGAGGUGCCCAGAGCUUGUGUAAAGUUCUCUGUGCCAUUUGAAAAAGGUACUUGGAGAAAAGAUAGGCUGGUUUUUAAUUUUAAUGUUUUACUCAUUGGUUUAAGUACAUUUAUGGUUUGCUUUGCAAAAUGUCAAUAGAUACCCCAAGUGGAUAACAUUUAAAAGAGAUUGAAUUCCCUGUAUUUACUCUAAUACCAUGUAAAAUAUGUGGUCAUCAAGGCCUACAGGUUCAUUGGCUAAGAGCUCAGUCAAAUGAUUAUUCAAAGCAAUGAGCUGUCUCUUCUGUUUCUCUCUUUCUCUCACAUUUUCACCGACUAGGAUUCCAGCAAGUUAUAGCUGACAGUUUUAUGCAGUUAGCGUGGGUUCCAAAUGGUGCUUCUAGCUACGCAGUGUUUAAAGGCUGCAUUGAGGUGUUAUCUGCCACCUGCUGACAUAGAGUUCAUUAAAAAAUAGUUUUAAAUAACACUGGGCAGUUGAAUAUUAUAUACUCAAUAAUCAAAACACUUUCACAUACAUUAUCCCAUUUCUUGUAAAUCUUCACACAAUCUUAUGACUCGUGUCAGUGUAACAAUUAUUAUCUUUAUUUUAUACUGAAGUCUAAUGAAGAUUAGGCAUAUUUUAGGUAGAGAUUAGAUGAAUGAAAACAUGUGAAGUGCUUGGAGAAAAUACUACUUAGCACAAAGGGAGUGCUUCACAUGUUUUAACUCAUUUAAUCUGUACUGCAUCUAUAGGAGACAGAUUUUGUCAUCCUCAGUAAGUGAAACUACAGAACAAUAAAUUAAUCUGCACAAAGUUAACACUGAGUGGUAGAAUCCGAUAAGAAUUCACAGGCCCCUGCCUAACCUCCUCGAUUUCCUGCUGAUCAAGAACAUGGGUCUCCUAGCACCUUGUCAAACCUUUCUACUUUGCACACUGUUGGAUUGUCUCUCAUUUCUUCUGUUAUAUUUCAUACAAUAUUUUACACUGUUUUAUAUACCUUCUACAUUAUGUAAUUUGAAUUUUCUUAGUCCUGGGAAGAGAGGAAAAUUCCUUCUAUACCUGCACUGUAUCAUAUGUCUUGAAAUUUGUCAAACAUAAGGGGAACUAGUUAAGAUGUAUUGAGUUGAGUAAAAAAUUGUAAACUCUAAGAACAAUAUAAACCUACAAAUUUAUAAGUAGAAUUUUUUCAAUAAAGAAUUAGUAUCAGAAGGAGGAGACUGUAAGCUUAGAUUUUUUUUUUCAAAACCUACUUUAUUUAGGGCUCUUAAACUCUUCCACCCCUCUUCUAGUUCACUGACCAGAGGUAGGGAGAAAAGAAAGUUCGUAGGAAAAGCGUGCUGUGGACUGGUUUAGAAGUAGUUCCUUGGAGGCAAUUCCACUUUUUGUUGGCAGGAUACCAGCAGUUCAGUAGCAAAUAACAAACAAACAUAAAUCAGUAGUGGCACAGGAUAUAGCAGAAACACCAAGGCUCUGCUGAAUUCAAACUAGUAAGCAGAAGUGGCCAGAAUCUGCAGGAAUACCAUGAGUAGUUCUUUGGCAAGUUUCUCUCUACAAAAGUGAAGGCCAACGAAGACCAGUGAAGACCAAGGAAACAUUGCAAGAACAUCUCACUGUUUGUGGGGUUCCAUUUGUAUUAUCUUUUAACAUCAUAUUCCUUCUCAAGUGUCUGGUUUCAGCAAAACAUUUCCUGUCCUCUCAAAAGACAGCUUCCAAAAAACAAAAAAAAACAACAAAAAAAAAACAUCAGCUGACACAACUGAGUCAUUAAAUAAACCAGAAAUUUCCACUUCAGGAGACUGUUUAAACCAAACAGGGAGAAAGAUGGAUUACUCUUGUGGAGAAAAGCAAGAAGACAAAGUCAGCAAUGCUUCCUAGAGCUCUUUCUAGUGCCAGACAUUAUCCAUGGAUCAACCCAUUAUUUCCUUACAAAAAACAUGCUGGGAUUAUCUUCACGUAUGACUGGGAGGUGGAGCACAGAGUUUAUAUGACCAACUCAAUAGUAAAUAUAAAAGGAGAAGAACAAAUAGCAAUGUGCACUGCCCAGUAGCUUCACUCCUGCCCAGAGACUGAGAUUUUUCUAGUUUAUAGUUUGAGUCUUUUCAUAUUUUGUUUGUUGUUCUUGUUCUUUGUGUUCUACUCUACCUAUGUGUCGCUUCCUAGGUGGUGUUUGCAUGCUACCAUGAAGAUCUUUCUCAGCAUGUUAUUCUGCCAUAGUGUAGUGUUUUGAGUUUUCCCUAAGUAUUCAUAUGUUGAAUAUUUAUGUCCAUUUAACAUGCUGAGAAGGAGGAAACAUAAUUUGGCUAUAAUGAUUAGAGAUGCAUUAUUUGGAAGGUGAUUAGGAUUAGAUAAACUCAUCAGGAUGGUAUUACAAUAUUUUUAUAUAUAAAUCCCUGCAGAAAGGUUUCACGCUACGUGCCCCAACUUCUGGGUUCCCAAAUGAAAGACACACACUCAGCCGUUAUAUUUUGAUAUGCCUUAACCAGCACAGUGGCUGGGCCACUUCCUAACCUCCACAUGUUAACCUCCUGUGAAUAAUUCCAAGUUCUUUCUGUUCUAUAUUCUAUCUUGGCAGUCCUUGAUCCAGAGGGUUGCCCAACGCCUUCCCAAUUCCUCUCCUGGUUCCUUCACAUUGGUGAUGCCUCCACUUCCUCCACUCUUCUCAGACAUGGAGUUUCUCUUCUACUUCUUCUCCCUGCAUGGUGGAUCUUCUUCUUCCUCUUUCCUCUCUCCCCCAAGCCCAGGAAUACUAAAUAUCUAGCCUCUGUUUACCAUGCCCAAACGUUGGAUGCCAGCAUCUUUAUUUACCAAUCAGGACCAACUAGGGGCAGGGUCCCUCAGUUUGGGAGAAUGUAAUUAGCAUUCCUAAUACAAGUAGCUACAGCAUGGAAUCCCCAUAACUGAACUGUUGGGACUUUGGAAGGAAAGAGACCAAAAACAUGCCUCCCAAUCUCUUGAGUUGUAAUAUUUUGCAUCUAGUCAGGAUUCCUCCAGCAAGAAAAUAUCAGAUGCAGCCCCUUAACCUUAUACCUUCAAGACUGUAAGCCACAAUAAAUUUAUUUCUUCAUGAAGUAGCCUGACAAAAGUAUUUUUUGAUAGUAAUAAAUAAUAACAGAUGCAUCCUUCUUUCUCUAGCAUUCAAAUGUUGCUUUCUGUUUUUGGGUUAUGUGGUCAUCUAUACCACAGCCCACUUUAUGUUUUUAUCAUCAUUUCAGCCUCCUUCCCAGUACUUUAGUGUCUUUGUGGCUUUACUCAUGUUGCUCACUGCUUGGAAUGCUGUUCCUCUCCUUUCUACCUGGGGAAUCACAUUCAUCCUACAUAAUAAAAUUCAAGUGCAUUUCUGCUUGAAACGUUCUAUAACCAUACAGAUAGAAUUAAUCACCUUGUGGAUAUAUACUUUAUUUUUUGCCAGCAGCAACAACUAAUUUCUAGUGAAUGUUUAUGGACUACAAUUAAGGUAUCACUGGUGAAGAAAACCAAAUUCAAAAGCUUUCUAAGACUCUCCUAAGAAUACUUGAUCAUGCAAUUUUAGAUGAACUUGAUUCUCAAACUCAUAAACGUUCCCACUCUGCUUUAACUUCCUUUACUGGCCUACAGAGUUUGCACGUUUUUAUCUUGUUUCAAUACUAGUAAGCUGAUAGCUGCUGAGGAAGAAUAUUUUGCAUUCUUAAUAUGCAGCAUAAUAUGUGAAAUGCAAAAAACAAACAAAUGAACAAAGCAAAACAAAACACACAAAGCACCCCCCACCUAUGGGAACUCAGCAAAAUAACUGAAUGGGAACCACAUACUGCCUGUUUCUGGGGCUGCGCAUCUCUCACCCAGGCUGUUGUUUCCCACACCACAGGUCAAUGAUGCACUGCUUUACUGUAUCCUCAUACUUGAUUGACUUCUACAGUGGUUACUCAUAAGACUGAUCAGCUUGACGACUGUUUUCUGUAGGAGUCUUUGCUCGGCAGACAUGACUGGAAAAUGUCAGUCGUGAUGUAUUCCGCAACCAUAGUGAUACAAGCACUGUCAUCUGUUUUCAGUUUCUGAGUGGCAUCAGAAUUGGCUGAAAUUUGAUUAUUUUUUUUCCCAAUGGGAACGAACUUCAAUAUCUCACUCUCUGAAUGCUUCCUUCUCUCUUCAGAAGAACUCUAAAGCUUCACAGAAGUCCUUUGCAGGAGGUCCUUUCCUUCUUUUGGAGGAAGUUUCCUUUUGCACAGGACCCCUGUGCCCCAUGUCCACUGGGCUUUGGAACUGUUACCUGUCACCAUGUUUUACUGCACAGACUUGUAGUCUGAGGUGAUCCUUCAAGUAAGAAUGUUUUUUUUUUCAUAACUCCUAUCAUGGUGUUCAUCCUUGCAUUCCACACACCAUCAUCUCCUUUGCAUGUUGUGCUGAAGAGCAUCUCUCUCAGAAUCCACUGUCCUGAAUUUGACCCCUGUAGAUUCACCCACAGGGGCCAGGCAUCUUUCCUUUCCCUGGUCCCAAACAAAGGAUCUAUUCUCUUUUCUACUCUGGUAAUAGAGCUUGUUAUUGAAGCACCAGGACCAUAAAAACGUGAUGUCUGCUUCCUUUCAGAAUGUGGCAAGAGAAGCACCUCCCCUUCUUCAUGAAAAUCCUUUUUCCAAAGGACAGAAUAGGUCGCUUCAUGACAUCUUCAUGUUAAAGUGGCACUAACAGAGCACCACUAAGUCUUUAGCAAGUCCUUCUGCUGGGUAGUUCUUCAUUGCAAUAUCCUGUUUAAAAACAAAAAAACCAAAACACCCAGGCAUAGCUUAAUUGUGUAUAUAAGUGACAGUUUUUCUCCACGUGCUAUCAUUGUGCUGCCAUUGUUCAAUUCUUGAAUUCUGGUUUUCAGAGCCACCAGCCCAGUUGUUUUACUACUCCCAAAGAGAACAAAUAUUUAUACUUGAAAAUAGAUUUGAUUUUGUAAAAAAAAAAAAAAAACAAAAAACAAAAAACAAAAAACAAAAAAAAAACCAACCCCCCCAAAACCCAGUGUUACUUGGCUUAGUGUUCAGAGUAAAAUCAGUGUGAAAAGCCGAGUUUGUAACAAAAGAAGUAAAGCUAUCAAGUAAUGGCAUUGAUUUUGUGAGUUGUGCUGAGUCUAAAAAGGGGUUUCCAAUGACAUCAUCUGUGAGUUAGUCUUAGGUAGUAUGUCUUUCCCAAUUGUGAAUAGACGAGAAAGACACAAAAUGAAGAACAAAUACUACAGUAUAUCUGUGACCAGUCAGUUUUGCUCCUAUUCUGUGUAGGCAAAACUAGCAGGGUAGGCUCAAAUAUCCUGAAGAAAGUAUUUAGUGGUGAACUAAUGAUUCUCAAAUGUGUUACAGCACAACCCUCAAGAGUUGUCAGUAAAACCAGAUUUGAGAGCACUGGUGUGGAUCCUGAGAAUCAGCAUUUCACAUCUGUUCCUAGGUGUUAAGCCAGAGGCCCCUCUGAGUACUGAGGCCCUGGACCCUCUGAAUAGCCUUACUAAACAAGUUACACUUUGGUUUGCACAAUAAGCUAUGUGUGCGUUUGCUUGUUUUUUUGUUUACUUGUGCUGAUGUGUAUAUGAAUUUAUCUUUAGAAGAAGGAUGUUCAUGGCUGAAUAAAUAACAAAACUGCACUGUUUUUCCAUAUACUGGGUGUCUUUUAUUGUUCAGAAUAUAAUUGAAAUUACUAGGGAGAAAAUGAUAAAGUAAUUUAAAUGUUU
rnacentral:lncRNA from 1 species